ensembl:lncRNA
GAAACUCAGAGCUGUGCAGGAGUCAACAGCUCUGAUCUGCUGUCUUACUUGGACACCUUUAAUCAAGUUCCCUGCAACGUCCCCUUGGAGGAAUAUGCCUGUGCACAGCUGGACAACUUCACAGCCAAUCAACUGGCAUCUCUUCUGAUGUGUAAUCUUUCUGGGAACAGCGCCCACUCCAAAACUCUGUGGAAAAUCCUGCUCACUAAAGUCUCCAAUGUUUUAAACCCAGCCCUGGACAUCCUGGCUAACAUGCCGAUGCCCGUGAUUCCAUCAGCGCCACAGGUCUUGGAUGUGAUUGGAGAGAUCAGAGUGUCGCUGCUGACAGAUGAGCAGCUGCAGAACAGCGAAGUUAUCAGGUUGUGGUUCUCAGGCCGCCUGAGGAGCUUCUUGCCUUACGCAUCAGGAAUGUUUCUGCGCUGUCUCAGCAGCACAAACCUGACCUGUCAGUCAUACCAGGAAAUACUGCAGACGUUUAUCAGCCAGUUUAACCAGAUGACCUCAAACCAGCAGCAGUUGGUCUUGCAGGAUUUCAUACUGCAGUUCCUGACGCAGCCACGCUCAGAUUCCAGCUGUGUGUCCACCUCCAACAGCACUGCAGUGUGGAUACAGCAGAAUUUCGGUCCAUUUUCAGCACUUCUGUCGCUCACUGAGCUGAUCCAUCUCAACCCACAAUUCAACCCUAUUGAAGUCUUGACACUCCUGACUGCACAACAGAGCGCAGAGCUGCUGUCGCUGUCGCUUCCAAAUCUGCCGGACAAAGCUGUCAUCAUCAACGCGCUCUUUGACUACCUGACCGUGUCUGCUGAAAAGAAUAAAUUCACAGAGUUCCUGACCAACCUCACCGUGUUCAUUCACCCGGAAAACUUCACUUGCUCUUCAUACAAAACGCUGUUUGCCAGACUGGACUUGGCCAUACCUGUGGUUUCUCUUGGCAUUGUUGCAACUAUCACACAGACUAAAGAGGCUCUAUCCCACCAACUACCACCUGGUGAGUGUUACAUCAACAUAAAGAUUUAGAACACUAAUUCUCAAAGUCUUAUAUCCAGCUUUGUCUCUUCACUGUU